GCAGCUUGGCGUCAUCGUGCAGCUCUUCGUACGUGAGGAAGAGAACGUUGCUCUCGUGUCUUCGAGUGUACCACGGAAUGAGGCUGCCUUUUAAGUAGCAUCCGUAGUUGCUGCGGCCGGAUACAAAGCGCUUGACGUGCUCGUCGAAGGGGACGACAUGCUCAUCCUCGGCGGCCGUCUGUGUUUGCAAGUGAUGGUAGGCAGAGACGCAAACGUCGUAAGGGUUUCUGGCGACGUAUAUGUACUUAGAGUGAGGUGAAAAUCUUUUCUCUUCAAAAGGAAGGUGAGUCUUGAUGGUGCCCGGCUUAGACAUAUUCUCCACAGCAUCGACACCGAAAAGCUCUAGAAAAGGUGACGCAGCAAAGAACUGCGAAAGUUCUGUCGGUGGC
rnacentral:lncRNA from 1 species